GGCGGCUGGACCCGGCGCGGGCGGGAGGCUCGGGCGGGCGGUCCGGCCCGGGACUCGGGUUUGGGCGACCAGGAGGUGCCGGUGGCCGCGCUCGGACCCGGUGAGUGGCUCCCUAGCUCCUUUUAUUGUCCUUUGUCCUUGGGAGGAAAAGCAAAAUGUCCUUGAGCGCGCGAGCAGGAGGGGGCGGCGGGCCGGGCCUCGCCGCUCGGCUCUUCUCGCACUGCCCCUCCGUGGUCGGGGGCCGGCUCUCGCCGGCGGGAUGCGCCUCGGUGCCCUGGGCCCGAGUCGUAGGGUCCUGGGGUAGGGGGCACGCGGGGCCCCGCUGCAGAGCCCGCGGGCGGCAGGUGGGCGGGGGGCAGCCUCGUCGCCGGGACUGGAUCCGCCGGGAAAGGGGCGGCGGGUGAAUGCCGGCGAGAGCCCGAAGGGGAUCGGGCGUGGAGAGCCCCUUUCUGUCCUGGUGAGUUAUUUUGAUAUUUAGGGUAAAAAAAUCCCUUUCAGGUUCUCCAACGGAGGAGCUUUUUAACCUCUUUCCGGUGAGGUGGGAACUCAUCUUCAUGAUCGAAUUUAAAAGAACAAUGGAACCCUGACUACGUUUCAACAAAAAUAAAACUUGUUUUUUUCCCUCCUAUUGGGUGUUGGCUUUUAACUCUUUCAAAGCCGAUUUUGAAACGGCUGCAGUGAUACAUGCGAAGGUACUUGCUGCUUAUUAAACCUUUAUGACGUUAAGGUUGUCUUUGAAAAAUGCAAGUUGGAGGAGUGCUUCUGGUAUUUCAGAAUUACGAAGACAAGUUUACUGUGUCGUCAAGGCUGUUUAAUGGAAAUAGAUUUGAUAAUUACGGUGCUAGCUAGCUGAUGACGUUUGGUUAAUGUAGUUUAUUUUACCGAGUAAUGACGCCAAGAUCAUUUGAUCUCCUGAUAUUUAAAUAUGAUUAAAUACACUGUUUGGUACUUUUUAAAAAGGUCUCAAGGAGCCGUUAUCUGCAACUUCUCACACCUGAAUGUUAGAACGUACUUGGGUCAAUUCCUAGUCUUUAAAAGUUCAUAAUUUAAUUAUUUUUAAGAAUUUAUAUUAUCACAAGCCAUGAUCGAAAAACUUUCACAAAAGAACAUUCUGACACCAAAUCUCUUCCUGAAGUUACUUUCUCGUAAUGUAAAUAUGAAUAAAGUAGGACUGCUCUCGGUAAUGGGCGAUGAAGAGGAGCCAUAUUUGUUGCAUUUGUUGCAUGUAUAAAAAUCUAGAUAUGCUUAAAACGGAACAGUAUUUUAAAAGUACAGGUUUCAUAAAAUUUAGUAGAGUUCUCUGUAUAGUCUCUAAUCUUAGAAAAAUGUUGGAAGGGUAAUUUUUAAGUGUAGUGGUUUGAAGAACAAACCAGAAGCGCACAAACCUUUGUGUAUUUUAGAAUAUAUUUGUCUUCAUUCUGCGGAGCUCUUGUGUUGUAAAGGUGCAGAACUACGUAAAAAUAGUGUUGGGCAGACUUACAUAGUACAUCUGAAAUCAGAUACUGGUUUAUUCGACCAUAUUUCUAAGGGCAUUUUUCCAGUAAAAUUGUUUUAUUUUUUGAGUAGCCUUCCUAUAGUGGUACAUGUUACAUCAGUUGCGCAUAUCUUGAUUUUACAGAAUCUGUCUUAAGUACCAAUUUUGGUUUUUCAAAUCAAUGUUUCUGAAAUUUUUGAACACUGAAAGUGGUUUUAAAUGAAUAUUCUGAAUCUAGUUCUUUAGAAUCCUCUUUGAAUUGUGAAAUGCAAAAUAAUUGUUAGCAGUUUAACCUGAAAGAUCUUUUUACAUGAUAAAUGGGGGAGGAGAAAGACUGAAAUGAAAAUGUUGAAGACCCUGAUUUGAAAUUGAGUGUAAAGGUCUAGAUACUGUAAGUUUUAGAGUAGCUUUAGAGACAAAGCUAGUAUCCCACUUGGUGAGAUCAAGUAACUUGUGGUUUAAAAUUUAAAGUAACCAGUGGCCAUUUUAACUUCACUAAUUUCUCUUGGAGGAGCUAAUUUUUAAUUGCUCAUGAUUGUAAAACAUACUUCCGGAUGGUAAGGGAGAUGUUAAGAUGAUUUGUCUUGAAGAAUGGUAAACUUUUUCUUUGUUUAUUGCCUGUCAUAAAAAGAGGGAAAGUAAAAAAAAAAAGGUUCAUAAUCUUAAAUCAGUCCAAAAAUUUGAAUUUUCUGUAUUUCUGUUUAAUUCAAUGCGUUAAUCUUUAGCAUUGGUCAAUACAGCCAAAAGAUGAGGAAAACAAAGACUGAUAGAUACUAAGAUAAGAAAUAACUGCAACCAUAAAUGUAUACAGGUUAUGUGUCCAUGAGCCAUCUCUUCAGUUUGCCCAUAGAUUUUUGUCUGUGGAAUAUUUUCUUGUUUCAUCACACUGAAUCGUUGGCCAAGAAAUGCUUGAAAAUCAAAACAUUAAUAUCAUCUUUCUUCUUUUUUUUAAAGGUGACUUAAGAGAUUAAAAUUAAUUUGGUUGCUGUUGGUUCUGAACAAAUAAUGAGUUCUUUUAUUUGAGGUAUGCCAUUUUGAAGACUGAGACGUUGGAGUUUUAUCCUAGAGGAUAAAGGAAAUCUUUGGGAAAGUCAGUAUUUUAUAUAGCAAAAAUAUGAACCUCAAACUGAAUCCUCUAAAGGCCCCAUACAAUGAAGUAGACAUUGGUGGAAACAUUUAAGAUACUCUUACUGAUGAUGUAUAAAUGAACUUUGAUUCAGUAAGGUCAGUUUGUAGGUCUCAAAGUACUUUGGUUAUUGUGGUACAUCAGAAUGAUAGCUAGUAUUUACUGAGAUCUUUCUAUAUGUCAGGUAAUAAAAAUCCUAUAAAAGUAUUCUUUCUACAGCCACAGGAGGUAGGUACUAUUUUUAUUUUACAGAUGAAGAACUGUGGAUUUUGUUUCUAAGAAAAUUUCCAGGCUCACAGAACUAAGCCUAAUUUCUUUUUAUUUUUUAGCAAAUACAGUUUUUAUAAGAAUUUGAAUUCUAUGAAAAUAAAUGGAUUACUCCUAAAUCUCUGAUGCCUCAGUGAACACUUUUUCCUUAUUAACAAAAUUCUCACUUUUGGCUUUGGAUUGGCUUUGCAGGAGUGCAGAUUGAUCAUAGCUUUUUUCAUGUCCUAAGAGUUGUCAGAGUUUUCUCUUGUAGCAUUUUUUUCUUUACUUUUUUUUUUUACUAUCUUUAAAUAUAUGACUGUAAGAGUAUGAUAAAUAUGCUGUUUUCUAAUCUCUGCUGUUGUCACAUAAACUAAUAUAUUUUGAGUAAUUUUGAAAUGAUAUUAAUAAUGUCAUUAGAUUUUCUUUGGAUUUUUUGAAAAAAAUAAUGGUUUUAGAAGGAAAUCUGGAUAAAUUUUAUCUCUGUCCUGUGUCAGAAAAAUAUAAAACUUGAGUUUUUUAAAUUAAGGUACUAAGAUAAAUAAAUUGCAUCUAUAGAUAUUGAAAUAUGACUGUAAUUUGAUAAUGCAUUUUCAUUCUCAGUGUCAUUGUUCAUCAUAAUAGUAUUUACAUCACCAACUUCAUUUAGAGCUUGAAUCUUGUAACAAUAGAGAUUGAAAAUAAAUUGGUUUAUAAUUAACUCUGACAGAGAAUGAUGUUUUUACUUUUAUACUUCUCUAUAGAAGUACAUGUCCCUUAAUUUUAAGGAAUGAACAAGUCAGAUGGAAGAUUUUUACUGAGAUCAGGAAUGAAUUGAGUAAUUUAGUUUUCUUUUUAAAGCUGGGGAGAAAUGAGCAAAAUCAAGGAGAAAUAUCUUGCUUUUGAUAUUUAUUACUGAUGCUGUGACACUCCCUUUAAUCAAUGUUUUUUAAUAUGGGUGGCAGUAUCUCAGUUAACCAAAUAGUUAAGUAAGUAGAUUUUUGUAUUGUAUAUAGUAAACAGUAUCCUAAUUGUUGCCAAGGAGACAAGGAAUUACCUAAUGGGCAAAAAUGCCCUUAUAUUUAUUUACCUCAAAUUCAGUCACACUUGACUGUAUCUCCACAAAUUCAGAUGGAGAGCUGGAAAAUUUAUAGAGAAGACCAGGGUUUAAAUCUUGUUUUUUCAAAUUAUGUUUGGUCAUGAUGAAUCUGAAUCAUUUAUUUAAUGAUAAAAUCAUCUGACUUCUCACUUCUCACUUCUCCCUUCAGUUAAAAUUAUUUAAGUAAUGGAUUUGUUUUUCUAUGAGAGACAUUUGGUAUUUUGGUAAUGAAAGUGUAUUAUUUUAGUUGCAUAUAAUUUGAAAACAGCAUUUUAUGGCAAAUCUAUCAAGCCAGGCAGAUACUUUGCAUUUUUGAUCUUUUUUUUUUUUUUUUUUUUUUGGUGGCUACAUCUUUUCUGUAUUCUCAGAUAUGUCGUUAAAGAUGGUGCCACCUAUAGUGGCCAUUUUCGUUAUCUAAACAAAACCAACAUCUGUUGGAUUGAAAAACUAUGCUAUGAUCGACUGCUUUAUGUGUGUAUGUUUUUUUUUUUUUUCAAAUCCCUUAAGAUUCUUUUCUAUAAUUAGUUUUCUUUGAAGAAGCUUGGAAAGUUUUCUGCAUUGAGAUUUAGAAUCCACAGUGUUUCUGUAAUUUAGCUUUCCAGGAAUUUUGAAUUUUAAUUUUUGUUUUUACUUUUUAUGUACACAGUAUAAUGAUGUUAGUGUUAAAUAUUAAAAAUCUGACUCUUCACUGGGACUUUUUUAUAGAUACAAAUGUAUCUGUGGUAGUACAAGGACUUUGUUACUUUGGCGUGCAGUCUUAUCAAGGAGUUGUGUGUGUGUUUUGCAUACAACUUUACAAUUUCAUAGUUGAAAGCUGUUACAAAAUGAAAGUUUUGUGUAUGGUAGGAUAUCUUCAAGGUGGGUGGAUGUUUUCUGUUUAAAAGAUUAAGAUGCCAACAGCGUUUUUUUCUUUUAAUUUUUUCAUCAAGCACCCAGUCAGCUUGAAGAGUUUCAAAUGGACCCUACCACUGAGAAAUCAAGAUGGCAGUCUACUAUGGGGAAUUGAGGAAAAAUGGAUUAAUACAAGAGUCCUGUGAUAAUAUACAACCAAGACAGGGUUCUUUUAACAUGGAUUCCAUGCAGUGAAUGAAGACAUAGGUUUCUUACCCAACACAAAUGGACAGUGGAUUUGACUUUCUAAAGACUUUUUUUGUGGACAUUUUGACAUUUGGAGAAGAAAGAUGGCACACUAACCCAGAUAAUAGUUUUUAUGCCUGGAAUUUUUUGCAGUUUGAUUUGUAUGCGUAUGACCUCUUGAAAUGUUAAUUUUUAAUAAAAUUUGUAACACUUAAAAA
rnacentral:lncRNA from 1 species